AACGAACGCUGGCGGCAUGCCUAACACAUGCAAGUCGAACGAGACCUUCGGGUCUAGUGGCGCACGGGUGCGUAACGCGUGGGAACCUGCCCUUUGCUUCGGAAUAACCCUCCGAAAGUGGUGCUAAUACCGGAUAAUGUCUUUGGACCAAAGAUUUAUCGGCUUUGGAUGGGCCCGCGUUGGAUUAGCUAGUUGGUAGGGUAAAAGCCUACCAAGGCGACGAUCCAUAGCUGGUCUGAGAGGAUGAUCAGCCACACUGGGACUGAGACACGGCCCAGACUCCUACGGGAGGCAGCAGUGGGGAAUAUUAGACAAUGGGCGAAAGCCUGAUCCAGCAAUGCCGCGUGAGUGAUGAAGGCCUUAGGGUUGUAAAGCUCUUUUACCCGGGAUGAUAAUGACAGUACCGGGAGAAUAAGCUCCGGCUAACUCCGUG
rnacentral:rRNA from 1 species